rnacentral:rRNA from 1 species
GUGGGGAAUUUUGGACAAUGGGCGCAAGCCUGAUCCAGCCAUGCCGCGUGAGUGAAGAAGGCCUUCGGGUUGUAAAGCUCUUUCGGCGGGGACGAAACGGUUCGUGCUAACACCACGGACUACUGACGGUACCCGAAGAAGAAGCACCGGCUAACUACGUGCCAGCAGCCGCGGUAAUACGUAGGGUGCAGGCGUUAAUCGGAAUUACUGGGCGUAAAGCGUGCGCAGGCGGUUUGUUAAGACAGGUGUGAAAUCCCCGGGCUUAACCUGGGAACUGCGCUUGUUACUGGCAGACUGGAGUGUGGCAGAGGGGGGUGGAAUUCCAGGUGUAGCAGUGAAAUGCGUAGAUAUCUGGAGGAACACCGAUGGCGAAGGCAGCCCCCUGGGCUAACACUGACGCUCAUGCACGAAAGCGUGGGGAGCAAACAGGAUUAGAUACCCCGGUAGUCC